rnacentral:tRNA from 1 species
GCGGAAGUGGCGGAACUGGCAGACGCGCAGGACUCAGGAUUCUGUGGGGUAAAACCCGUGAGAGUUCGAAUCUCUCCUUCCGCACCA